GUCGAGCGAGGUAGCAAUACCUAGCGGCAGACGGGUGCGUAACAUGUGGGAAUCUGCCUUUUGGUUCGGAACAACACGAGGAAAAUUGUGCUAAUACCGGAUAAGCCCUUACGGGGAAAGUUUUAAUGCCAAAAGAUGAGCCCGCAUUUGAUUAGCUAGUUGGUGAGGUAAAAGCUCACCAAGGCGAUAAUCAAUAGCUGAUUUGAGAGGAUGAUCAGCCACACUGGGACUGAGAUACGGCCCAGACUCC
rnacentral:rRNA from 1 species